rnacentral:rRNA from 1 species
UUAGAGGAAGUAAAAGUCGUAACAAGGUAUCUGUAGGUGAACCUGCAGAUGGAUCAUUUUGAUGAAAAACCUUUUUUUUCUGAGGUGUGGCUCGCACCUGUCCAACUAAACCUGAGCUACCUUUUUUAUAUAACACGGUUGCAUCGGUCGGUCUGUCGAAACCAGUAGCGCUCAUAGCGAGCAGCGUCUGGGGAAAGACGGGUCGGCGCUUCUUACCAACACUUUUGAACACUAGGAUUGGAAGGACAAAAAUCAUUUUUUUGAUGAUGGAAGCGACUGGUAAUGCGGUCGUCUAAAUUGAAAAAACAACUUUUGGCAACGGAUCUCUUGGUUCUCCCAUCGAUGAAGAACGCAGCGAAUUGCGAUAAGUAAUGUGAAUUGCAGAAGUGAAUCAUCGAAUCUUUGAACGCACCUUGCGCUCCCGGCAGAUUUAAUCUGGGGAGCAUGCCUGUUUGAGGGCCGCGAAUUGUUUCGAACGACAGCUUUUUUUUCUUGUUGAGAAAGAGCUGGCGGAUCGGUAGUGAGGGUCUCUGCCAUUUACCGUGGCUCCCUCGAAAUGCAUUAGCGCAUCCAUUGGAAGGCGGAAAGACGGACGAAAGCUCGAGUUUUUUUGCCCUCGCUUCCCUGCCGGGUUUUGAUAAUGUCAGGACUUCGGAGGCGAAGAGAGGGCGGGAGCUGGACGCAACGACUUUUCUGCUGUUUGGCGUGCUUCUGAACCCCGCCCAUGCCUCUGCUUUAACCACAGAGGAAGGGAUUUAUUUUUCAAUUCAUCGGCCUCAGAUUGGUAGGGACUACCCCGUUGAACUUAAGCAUAUCA